UACGUAGGGGGCUAGCGUUGUCCGGAUUUAUUGGGCGUAAAGAGCGUGUAGGCGGCCAGACAGGUCCGCUGUGAAAACUCGAGGCUCAACCUCGAGAUGUCGAUGGAAACCGUCUGGCUAGAGUCCGGAAGAGGAGUGUGGAAUUCCUGGUGUAGCGGUGAAAUGCGCAGAUAUCAGGAAGAACACCUAUGGCGAAGGCAGCACUCUGGGACGGUACUGACGCUGAGACGCGAAAGCGUGGGGAGCGAACAGG
rnacentral:rRNA from 1 species